rnacentral:rRNA from 1 species
UACGUAGGGUGCAAGCGUUAAUCGGAAUUACUGGGCGUAAAGCGUGCGCAGGCGGUUUUGUAAGUUUGUCGUGAAAGCCCCGGGCUCAACCUGGGAAUUGCGAUGAAGACUGCAAGGCUUGAAUCUGGCAGAGGGGGGUAGAAUUCCACGUGUAGCAGUGAAAUGCGCAGAGAUGUGGAGGAACACCGGAUGGCGAAGGCAGCCCCCUGGGUCAAGAUUGACGCUCAUGCAC